CUUUACCGUUAGAAACGACCGUUCUUGAGGGUCAUAUGCACAUACCUGGCUCUCGAAAUCUAUUUUAAUCUGAGCGUCGAGCGCGUCACAUCGGGAGCUCGCUCCGAACGCAAGUAAACGUAAUUUUCAAUCGCGCUCCAUUUCCUUGUGUUUUUAGUUAUUUUAAUUUCGUCAAAUGGAGUCAACGACUGAAAACAAAGGGAACAAAUGUCCUUGAAAAGAAAGAAAAUUUUUGAUAUUAUCAAGGAUAAUAUUACCGAAGACAAUAAUCGAUGUUCCUAAAUAUGAAGAAUAUUGCUUAGAAACAGCCCGUCUAUUUGUACAUUUAUAUCCGUGGUUUUAUAUGCCAACUACGGUACAUAAAUUGUUGAUUCACAGCGCAAAAA